GUGUGUUUUAAGUUAAAAAAGAAAUGAGUAGCUAUUCUUUUGCACUACCUUCUUGGUACUUGCUCAAGUAAAAUCACGAUUACAUAUCGAAAAAGAUAUGAAUAAGGACAGCAUGGGUUGCUCGCAUGGUAACCACGUUCCACCUCCAACACUGAGGUUGUGGAUUCGAGUCACCAAGGGAGCAACAAGGGUGGGAGGGGUAAAAAAAGAAGAAGAAGAUGUGAGUAAGUAAUUGAACCCUUUUCUUUGAUGGGUACACAACAUUUGAACAUUAACAAAUUGCUCCUUGAUAUUACCCUAUCCUAAUCUCAUGAUCCCGAUAGAGACAACACAUUAAUAUCUUAAUAAGAUUUUCAUAGUCAUGUACCUUACCGGGGAUAGAGCCUAGAAACAUUAAACUUCUCCUAGUCAACAAUCCACUUGUGUAAUUGGAGGUUGAUGUGAACGAUCACUACACAUGGGAGUGUGCAAGGACAAAAUUUAGGACGAUGACAGAUAAGAAGCCAAAAAGAAACAAAUUAGAUACCCAUAAGAGGCCCAAAUCGAAAAGAGAAAAUCAGAAAAGCCAAACUGGACGAUGAUUUGUUUUCCUAUCUACAGAUUGUAAACAAACAAUCUUAACCAAAAUAGCUCAGAAUAGAACUAGACCGACCGCAUGCUGAUUCUUACACAUUGCAUGAGUAGAAUAAGCAUUGUCUCUUCAUUUUGUCUGUUUUUGGGUCCAUUCUAUUGUCGUGAUUCACAUAAGUAAAACAGAAAAGUCAUAUUACUUUAUUCUGAAGUAAAUUUGAAUUUUCCUUAGUCUUAUUAUAAAAAGCAAUGUUCUACAGAAGCAGCAAUCCCUUUAUCCGCCAAAAAAUAAGUCUCUUUUACAUUGAUAUGCCCCUAGUUUCUACUUUUGUGUGACAUAAUUGUGGUAAAUCUUCUUCUUACUUGCCUAAUUGCGUAAGAGCCGUAUUAACUUAAAGUUCGGCUAUUCACUAUGAUACCACAUAAAAUAUUUCUUUAUUGGCUCUUUCUAUAAUGGUUCAUUAUGCACCAGUUCAUUUUCAUUUGGAUCAAAGUUACAUACUUUGUACUUACCUUCAAAAUCAUGACUUCCACCAAUUCCCUUCCUUUCUCUUAGAAAUAGAUAUUGCCAAUUAACAUUUAGAAUUCAGAUGUGAACAAUUUCGUCAUUAGACAAAUCAAAAGGUGUCAAUGUUGUGCUUAAAUUCGGCUCAAUAGAUUGAACUAGUGUAUCAACGAGUGGCAAUGUUUGCUAGCUAUCCUUUAAUGGACAAACAAUGAUUAGAAUAAGUUUUGAGAAGCUGAAAGUUGACUGUUUGACUUUGAAUAUUGCAUACCAUGUCUGGACUGAUGGAGAUCAUUGAGUUGUUAUCUGCUAUGUUUUCCCUUUUCUGGUGGAUAUUUUUGCCAUCAAUUUCUUGCUUGAAAUCGUAAUUUAAGUAAGUUACUGUCCCGUAUCAGUUUGUGAAGUCUAUGUUACUAAAAUCUGUCAAAAUAGUCUUAUCUUUAGCAUAAUGACUGUUGUUACAAUGUGUGAAAAUUGUAUGGUAUACAAUAGAGGAGAUGCUAUUCUUGUCUCAACUAAAUGAUCCUUGUACCCUAGGAGAACAUGUUUUUGGAGGGUUACGGACAUUAAUGCGCACACAUUGAAUCUAGACUUACAAAGUAUAUAAAGCCUGGCAUUAGAGAUUUAACCUUCGUGACAUAUGCUAUGUUACUUCAGUAUGAGUACUAGGCUUGCUAGUAUUAUCCGUUAUCAAUUCUUUUAUGGUAUCUGGUAAUUUGUUAGAGGUAUGAAAAUACCCAUAUCCAUGCCUAUUUGUUUGACUUCAGUGAAUCAGUGGAAACAAAGAGUUUGCUUGUGUCAAUAGUGGCAAUCUGCACUCAGUUUCUUUGUGAAGUCCAAUUAUACAAAAUCAGUUCCUACUAGGAGAAGAAAGAAUUGGUCAUUAGGUGAACGUUUCAUUUUGUUGGAACUGAAUCAUCAUGAGAAUAACUUAUGUUCAUCUCUUCUUCUUC